GUUCCUACGGUGCCCAGCAGCCUGGGCUUUAUGGACAGGGUGGCGCCCCUCCCAAUGUGGAUCCUGAGGCCUACUCCUGGUUCCAGUCGGUGGACUCAGAUCACAGUGGCUAUAUCUCCAUGAAGGAGCUAAAGCAGGCCCUGGUCAACUGCAAUUGGUCUUCAUUCAAUGAUGAGACCUGCCUCAUGAUGAUAAACAUGUUUGACAAGACCAAGUCAGGCCGCAUCGAUGUCUACGGCUUCUCAGCCCUGUGGAAAUUCAUCCAGCAGUGGAAGAACCUCUUCCAGCAGUAUGACCGGGACCGCUCGGGCUCCAUUAGCUACACAGAGCUGCAGCAAGGUGUGCACCCAGCUGCAGGUGCUGACAGAGGCCUUCCGGGAGAAGGACACAGCUGUACAAGGCAACAUUCGGCUCAGCUUCGAGGACUUCGUCACCAUGACAGCUUCUCGGAUGCUAUGACCCAACCAUCUGUGGAGAGUGGAGUGCACCAGGGACCUUUCCUGGCUUCUUAGAGUGAGAGAAGUAUGUGGACAUCUCUUCUUUUCCUGUCCCUCUAGAAGAACAUUCUCCCUUGCUUGAUGCAACACUGUUCCAAAAGAGGGUGGAGAGUCCUGCAUCAUAGCCACCAAAUAGUGAGGACCGGGGCUGAGGCCACACAGAUAGGGGCCUGAUGGAGGAGAGGAUAGAAGUUGAAUGUCCUGAUGGCCAUGAGCAGUUGAGUGGCACAGCCUG
rnacentral:sRNA from 1 species